CUUAUACAAUCGCUCAUUAGUGACAUAAUGAACGCAAUGUUGUAAUUAAACAUUACAACUAAUCAAAUAAGACAAAACUCGUAGCUCAACUACUCACCAACGCAGCGACAAACGAGUGGAAAUAAAGGCUGGGUUAAGAAUCUUCCAUUCUAAUGGCCAUGCACCAGAGUUGGAGUGUAUCUCCUGUUGAAGAACAUCUCUAGACAUUAUGACUACCAUAUGACUAGGAAAGACUGAAAAUCAUCAAUAAAACACAAGUGGAUUGAUAGCUCCAACACCAAUUAAGCAGACCUGAGUAUCUGAUCAAGGAUCACCAGAAACUCUGCAGAACUUCAGUACCCAGUCCUCAAUAAGUCCUCAAUAAGUCCUCAAUACCCAGGACUGGAAACCAGAGUUGUAAGUCAUCAAUCUAGCAGUCAUCCUGCCUCUCUGAAUUGUCAUGUUUAGAACAUAUUGCAGGAGAUCUCAACAUUGUCUCUCAAGGUCCAUAUACAUGCAGCGUUUUGCUCCAACCUAGUCCAGUGCGCCUGAGCAAACUAAUCAAGGUCUUCAGUUUAACUAUAAAUUUACCUAAACUAUGGGUGUGUAUCUCUCAGGCCCCUUUGAUCAU